UACGUAGGGUGCAAGCGUUAAUCGGAAUUACUGGGCGUAAAGCGUGCGCAGGCGGUUUUGUAAGUCUGUCGUGAAAUCCCCCGGGCUCAACCUGGGAAUUGCGAUGGAGACUGCAAGGCUAGAAUCUGGCAGAGGGGGGGUAGAAUUCCACGUGUAGCAGUGAAAUGCGUAGAGAUGUGGAGGAACACCGAUGGCGAAGGCAGCCCCCUGGGUCAAGAUUGACGCUCAUGCACGAAAGCGUGGGGAGCAACAGG
rnacentral:rRNA from 1 species